ACUCCUACGGGAGGCAGCAGUAGGGAAGUCUUCCUACAAUGGGCGCAAGCCUGAUGGAGCAACACCGCGUGAGUGAAGAAGGGUUUCGGUCUCGUAAAGCUCUGUUGUUAAAGAAGAACACGUAUGAGAGUAACUGUUCAUACGUUGACGGUAUUUAACCAGAAAGUCACGGCUAACUACGUGCCAGCAGCCGCGGUAAUACGUAGGUGGCAAGCGUUAUCCGGAUUUAUUGGGCGUAAAGAGAGUGCAGGCGGUUUUCUAAGUCUGAUGUGAAAGCCUUCGGCUUAACCGGAGAAGUGCAUCGGAAACUGGAUAACUUGAGUGCAGAAGAGGGUAGUGGAACUCCAUGUGUAGCGGUGGAAUGCGUAGAUAUAUGGAAGAACACCAGUGGCGAAGGCGGCUACCUGGUCUGCAACUGACGCUGAGACUCGAAAGCAUGGGUAGCGAACAGGAUUAGAUACCCUGGUAGGAUAGCG
rnacentral:rRNA from 1 species